GAUGAAGGAGGAGCUUGCUCCUCCGGAUUAGUGGCGAACGGGUGAGUAAUACGUGAGCAAUGUGCCCUUGACUCUGGGAUAAGCGCUGGAAACGGCGUCUAAUACCGGAUACGACGAUCGGAGGCAUCUCCUGGUCGUGGAAAGAACUUCGGUCAAGGAUCAGCUCACGGCCUAUCAGCUAGUUGGUGAGGUAACGGCUCACCAAGGCGACGACGGGUAGCCGGCCUGAGAGGGUGACCGGCCACACUGGGACUGAGACACGGCCCAGACUCCUACGGGAGGCAGCAGUGGGGAAUAUUGCACAAUGGGCGCAAGCCUGAUGCAGCAACGCCGCGUGAGGGACGAAGGCCUUCGGGUUGUAAACCUCUUUUAGCAGGGAAGAAGCGAAAGUGACGGUACCUGCAGAAAAAGCACCGGCUAACUACGUGCCAGCAGCCGCGGUAAUACGUAGGGUGCAAGCGUUGUCCGGAAUUAUUGGGCGUAAAGAGCUCGUAGGCGGUUUGUCACGUCUGCUGUGAAAACCCGAGGCUCAACCUCGGGCUUGCAGUGGGUACGGGCAGACUAGAGUGCGGUAGGGGAGAUUGGAAUUCCUGGUGUAGCGGUGGAAUGCGCAGAUAUCAGGAGGAACACCGAUGGCGAAAGCAGAUCUCUGGGCCGUAACUGACGCUGAGGAGCGAAAGCAUGG
rnacentral:rRNA from 1 species